UGAGUAAGUUAAAUGAUCGCGUAUACAAACCUGAAAGGGUGUAUAUGAGGAAAGUCCGAGCUCCGUAGGGCAGAGUGCUGGAUAACGUCCAGUGGAGGCGACUCUUAGGAAAGUGCAACAGAAAUAAACCGCCUAAAGUUUUAGGUAAGGAUGGAAAGGUGAGGUAAGAGCUUACCGCCUCUUUGGUGACAAAGAGGGCACAUGUAAACCCCACUCGGAGCAAAACCGAAUAGUGGAGCAAUAUGGCGGCCCGUCAUGCUCUAGGGUAGGUUGCUAGAGCUUACUGGUAACAGUAAGUCGAGAUAGAUGAUCAUUCACGACAGGACUCGGCUUAUCGAUUUGCUCAUUUU
rnacentral:RNase_P_RNA from 1 species